UGGGAUGUAGCUCAGUUGGGAGAGUGUUUGCCUAGCAUGCACAAAGUGCUGGGUUCGAUCCCCAGCACUCCAU